CCGGUUCCACCACGUCGAGUUCUGGUGCACCGACGCCACCAACGCCGCCCUCCGAUUCUCCUGGGGACUCGGCAUGCCCAUGGUAGCUAAGUCCGACCUCUCCACCGGCAAUCAAACCCAUGCCUCCUACCUUCUCCGCUCCGGCGACCUCAAUUUCCUCUUCACCGCCCCGUACUCCCCCACCCUGACCCGAACCGCCGACCCGGCCCGGCCCAGCAACUCCAGCGCCUCCAUCCCCACCUUCGACCACACCGCCUCCCGCGCCUUCUCUGCCACCCACGGCCUCGGCGUCCGCGCCGUCGCCAUCCAAGUCGAAGACGCCGUCUCCGCCUUCACCACCAGCGUCGCCCACGGCGCCAAACCCUCGGCCGCCCCCAUCCUCCUCGACAACCGCGUCACCAUCGCGGAAGUCCAACUCUACGGCGACGUUGUUUUGCGGUACGUCAGCUACUCGGACCACAACCACCUCACAGAUCCGGACCCCAACCUCUGGUUCCUCCCCGGAUUCGAACCCCUAC
rnacentral:lncRNA from 1 species